rnacentral:rRNA from 1 species
GCUUACACAUGCAAGUCGAACGGGCUCUUCGGAGCUAGUGGCGGACGGGUGAGUAACGCGUGAGAAUCUGCCUUCAGGAGGGGGAUAACGACUGGAAACGGUCGCUAAUACCCCAUAUGCCUCCNGGGUGAAAAGUAAUUCGCCUGAAGAUGAGCUCGCGUCAGAUUAGCUAGUUGGUGGGGUAAGAGCCUACCAAGGCGACGAUCUGUAGCUGGUCUGAGAGGAUGAUCAGCCACACUGGGACUGAGACACGGCCCAGACUCCUACGGGAGGCAGCAGUGGGGAAUUUUCCGCAAUGGGCGCAAGCCUGACGGAGCAAGACCGCGUGGGGGAUGACGGCCUAAUGGUUGUAAACCCCUUUUCUCUGGGAAGAAGACUGACGGUACCAGAGGAAUCAGCCUCGGCUAACUCCGUGCCAGCAGCCGCGGUAAUACGGAGGAGGCAAGCGUUAUCCGGAAUUAUUGGGCGUAAAGCGUCCGUAGGUGGUUAUUCAAGUCUGCUGUCAAAGCGUGGGGCUCAACUCCAUAGAGGCAGUGGAAACUGAGUGACUAGAGUGCGGUAGGGGUCGAGGGAAUUCCCAGUGUAGCGGUGAAAUGCGUAGAUAUUGGGAAGAACACCAGUGGCGAAAGCGCUCGACUGGGCCUGCACUGACACUGAGGGACGAAAGCUAGGGGAGCGAAAGGGAUUAGAUACCCCUGUAGUCCU